rnacentral:rRNA from 1 species
UACGUAGGGGGCAAGCGUUGUCCGGAUUUAUUGGGCGUAAAGAGCGUGUAGGCGGCCAAGCAGGUCCGCUGUGAAAACUCGAGGCUCAACCUCGAGACGUCGGUGGAAACCGUUUGGCUAGAGUCCGGAAGAGGAGAGUGGAAUUCCCGGUGUAGCGGUGAAAUGCGCAGAUAUCGGGAAGAACACCCGUGGCGAAGGCAGGUCUCUGGGCCAUAACUGACGCUGAGAAGCGAAAGCAUGGGGAGCGAACAGG